rfam:Salmo salar isolate Sally breed double haploid chromosome ssa08, whole genome shotgun sequence.
AAUGCACCAAUUUGUAAGUCGCUCUGGAUACAGAGCGUCUGCUAAAUGACGUAAA